rnacentral:rRNA from 1 species
GAUGAACGCUGGCGGCGUGCCUAAUACAUGCAAGUCGAGCGAACGGACGAGAAGCUUGCUUCUCUGAUGUUAGCGGCGGACGGGUGAGUAACACGUGGAUAACCUACCUAUAAGACUGGGAUAACUUCGGGAAACCGGAGCUAAUACCGGAUAAUAUUUUGAACCGCAUGGUUCAAAAGUGAAAGACGGUCUUGCUGUCACUUAUAGAUGGAUCCGCGCUGCAUUAGCUAGUUGGUAAGGUAACGGCUUACCAAGGCAACGAUGCAUAGCCGACCUGAGAGGGUGAUCGGCCACACUGGAACUGAGACACGGUCCAGACUCCUACGGGAGGCAGCAGUAGGGAAUCUUCCGCAAUGGGCGAAAGCCUGACGGAGCAACGCCGCGUGAGUGAUGAAGGUCUUCGGAUCGUAAAACUCUGUUAUUAGGGAAGAACAUAUGUGUAAGUAACUGUGCACAUCUUGACGGUACCUAAUCAGAAAGCCACGGCUAACUACGUGCCAGCAGCCGCGGUAAUACGUAGGUGGCAAGCGUUAUCCGGAAUUAUUGGGCGUAAAGCGCGCGUAGGCGGUUUUUUAAGUCUGAUGUGAAAGCCCACGGCUCAACCGUGGAGGGUCAUUGGAAACUGGAAAACUUGAGUGCAGAAGAGGAAAGUGGAAUUCCAUGUGUAGCGGUGAAAUGCGCAGAGAUAUGGAGGAACACCAGUGGCGAAGGCGACUUUCUGGUCUGUAACUGACGCUGAUGUGCGAAAGCGUGGGGAUCAAACAGGAUUAGAUACCCUGGUAGUCCACGCCGUAAACGAUGAGUGCUAAGUGUUAGGGGGUUUCCGCCCCUUAGUGCUGCAGCUAACGCAUUAAGCACUCCGCCUGGGGAGUACGACCGCAAGGUUGAAACUCAAAGGAAUUGACGGGGACCCGCACAAGCGGUGGAGCAUGUGGUUUAAUUCGAAGCAACGCGAAGAACCUUACCAAAUCUUGACAUCCUUUGACAACUCUAGAGAUAGAGCCUUCCCCUUCGGGGGACAAAGUGACAGGUGGUGCAUGGUUGUCGUCAGCUCGUGUCGUGAAAUGUUGGGUUAAGUCCCGCAACGAGCGCAACCCUUAAGCUUAGUUGCCAUCAUUAAGUUGGGCACUCUAAGUUGACUGCCGGUGACAAACCGGAGGAAGGUGGGGAUGACGUCAAAUCAUCAUGCCCCUUAUGAUUUGGGCUACACACGUGCUACAAUGGACAAUACAAAGGGCAGCGAAACCGCGAGGUCAAGCAAAUCCCAUAAAGUUGUUCUCAGUUCGGAUUGUAGUCUGCAACUCGACUACAUGAAGCUGGAAUCGCUAGUAAUCGUAGAUCAGCAUGCUACGGUGAAUACGUUCCCGGGUCU